rnacentral:rRNA from 1 species
GACGAACGCUGGCGGCGUGCCUAAUACAUGCAAGUCGAGCGGACGGAUGGGAGCUUGCUCCUAGACCGUCAGCGGCGGACGGGUGAGUAACACGUGGGCAACCUGCCUGUAAGACUGGGAUAACUCCGGGAAACCGGGGCUAAUACCGGAUAACUCUUUCCCUCACAUGAGGGAAAGCUGAAAGAUGGCAUCUCGCUAUCACUUACAGAUGGGCCCGCGGCGCAUUGGCUAGUUGGUGAGGUAACGGCUCACCAAGGCGACGAUGCGUAGCGGACCUGAGAGGGUGAUCGGCCAAACUGAAACUGAGACACGGCCCAGACUCCUACGGGAGGCAGAAGUAGGAAAUCUUCCGCAAUGGACGAAAGUCUGACGGGGCAACGCCGCGUGGGUAAUGAAGGUUUUCGGAUCGUAAAACUCUGUUGUCAGGGAAGAACAAGUACCGGAGUAACUGCCGGUACCUGGACGGUACCAGACCAGAAAGCCACGGCUAACUACGU